AGUGAACGCUGGCGGCGUGCUUAACACAUGCAAGUCGAACGAGAACGGGUUAUAGCUUGCUAUAAUUGUCAGCUAAGUGGCGCACGGGUGAGUAAUGUAUAGGUAAUAUGCCUCUUACUAAGGGAUAACAAAUGGAAACGUUUGCUAAUACCUUAUACUCCUUAUUAACAGAAGUUAAUAAGGGAAAGAUUUAUUGGUAAGAGAUUAGCCUGUAUUGUAUCAGUUAGUUGGUGGGGUAAUGGCUUACCAAGACUAUGACACAUAACUGGUUUGAAAGGAUGAUCAGUCACACUGGAACUGAGACACGGUCCAGACUCCUACGGGAGGCAGCAGUGGGGAAUAUUGCACAAUGGACGAAAGUCUGAUGCAGCAACGCCGCGUGGAGGAUGACACAUUUCGGUGCGUAAACUCCUUUUAUAUGGGAAGAUAAUGACGGUAUUAUAUGAAUAAGCACCGGCUAACACUGUGCCAGCAGCCGCGGUAA
rnacentral:rRNA from 1 species